ACAACUCCUAACAGCUAGCCAACACAAAAAACAACAACCAACAUUAAUAACCCCAUAAGCACAAGCAACAAACAACAAAUCAUUUUUCCUCCUAAGUAUGGGCGACAGAAAAGGAAUUUUAGAGCCAUAGAGAAAGUACCGCAAGGGAAAGCUGAAAGAGAAAUGAAAAAACCCAGUAAAGAGACAAAAAGCAGAGACAUAACCUCGUACCUUUUGCAUCAUGACUUAGCUAGUAACCCUCGAGCAAAGUGAACUUUAGUUCGAGCCCCCGAAACUGAGCGAGCUACUUCAAGACAGCCUCAUGCAGGGCAAACCCGUCUCUGUGGCAAAAGAGUGGGAAGAUCUUAAAGUAGGGGUGACAGACCUACCGAGCCCAGUUAUAGCUGGUUGCCUACAAAAUGGAUAUAAGUUCAGCCUUUAACCUUCUUCUCUCAACCAAUAAUAGAUUUAUAUAUAAAUAUAUACUUAUAUACAUACAUAAAUGCCAAGGUGACACAAAGGACAGUUAAAGAGUUAUUCAAAAGGGGAACAGCCCUUUUGAAGAAAGACACAACUUUAUUAGGAGGUUAAAGAUCAAAAGAGCACAAAGCAGGGUACCCUGGUGGGCCUAAAAGCAGCCACCCAUACCGAAAGCGUUAAAGCUCAAGUACCAAGCAAACCUCAAAUCCCGACAACACAAUCUUAAACCCCUUCAAUAAUAGUAGGCCUUUUCAUGCAAACAUGAAAGAGACACUGCUAACAUGAGUAAUAAGAGGGCUGCCCCUCUCCACAACACCUGUAUACAUCAGAACGGACCCCCACUGAUAACUAACGCCCCCAACCAAAGAGGGCACUGGAAAGACAACUUAACUAGAAAAACUCCCAGACUAUAGCGUUAACCCUACACAGGUGUGUUUUAGGAAAGACUAACAGAAAAAGAAGGAACUCGGCAAACACUGGCCUCGCCUGUUUACCAAAAACAUCGCCUCUUGUUCAUUUUAACAUAUAAGAGGUCCCGCCUGCCCACUGACUAUAAGUUCAACGGCCGCAGUAUUUUAACUGUGCAAAGGUAGCGCAAUCACUUGUCUUUUAAAUGAGGACCUGUAUGAAUGGCAUUACGAGGGCUAAGCUGUCUCCUUUUUCCAGUCAAUGAAAUUGAUCUCCCCGUGCAGAAGCGGGGAUGAGCCCAUAAGACGAGAAGACCCUAUGGAGCUUAAGACAAAAGCAGCCCAUGUAAGACACCUAGAUUAAUAGGACAAACAAGUGGAGCCUGCCCAUAUCUUUGGUUGGGGCGACCGAGGGGGAGCAUUCAUCCCCCAUGUGGAAUAGGAACCUACAUUCCUUAAAGCCAGAGCCACAGCUCUAACAAGCAGAACAUCUGACCUUUAAAGAUCCGGCAGAGCCGAUCAACGGACCAAGUUACCCUAGGGAUAACAGCGCAAUCCCCUUUCAGAGCCCCUAUCGACAAGGGGGUUUACGACCUCGAUGUUGGAUCAGGACAUCCUAAUGGUGCAACCGCUAUUAAGGGUUCGUUUGUUCAACGAUUAAAGUCCUACGUGAUCUGAGUUCAGACCGGAGAAAUCCAGGUCAGUUUCUAUCUAUGCAGUGCUCUCUUCUAGUACGAAAGGACCGAAGAGAAGAGGCCCAUGCUUCAAGUAAGCCUUCCCCUUACCCCCUGAAAAAAGCUCAAGGGGGUAAGAGGGCACAAUGCCCUGCCUAAGAAUAAGGCAAA
rnacentral:rRNA from 1 species